rnacentral:sRNA from 1 species
CACAAAAAGUUAACUUAUUUAGCAAAAUUGUAAGCAUAAAAGCAUAAUCUGUAUUUUUAUUACUUUUGAUCAAUAACAUUAAAUCAUCUCAGUGUUUUCACCCACUUUUAAAAAGUUUCCUGGGGCUGGGGAUUUAGCUCAGUGGUAGAGCGCUUACCUAGGAAGCGCAAGGCCCUGGGUUCGGUCCCCAGCUCCGAAAAAAAGAACAAAAGUUUCCUAACCUAAAACAAUUAUUUGAAAAAAUAAGACUAACAUUUUGGAUACAACAGGAAAACUGAAUAAUGCAAUUAUAUACUUUAACAACUCACGCUGCCACUUCUAACUCUGCUUCAUGUUUCAACUGAGACUGGCCUUUGAUGCUAGUACUUUUUUAUUUAUAAACUUUAAACUUGCAGUGUUAUGGAAAACUACAAGGCUGAAAAGUUAGUGGCCCCAAAUGAGAAUCAGCUAUUACUGACUUAAAGCCCUUCAGGAAAAUAUUAAGAACCAGAAAUCAGAUAUAAAAUUAAAACACAAGGAAAUAAGUGGUAAUGGUUAUAAUUGCAAAGGUAUGAAGAAAACUGAAGAAUGUCAACUGAGGCAUGUAAGGACAUUAAACAGCCACUUGGACUUCAGUAUUAAUGCACCACCAGAGCAAGAAUGUUCACAGAAGCAUGCAGAACCACAUUCAAUAAGUAAAAAAAAAAAAAUUGUCAACAUAGUUACAAGAAACAGCAUCGCUUCGCUAUUUGAGGGGCAGAAGUUUGCAUCUUUCCAUGUAGACAACCCAGACUAGCCUUAAAACUAUCUUUUCCUGCCUCAGAGAGUCCCUCCCAACUAUUGUGAUUAUAGUCAUGCCUCCAGGCCCAGGUCAAUCUACCUUUAAUCAAUGAUGCCCAGGAUGAUAAAAAAAGAUAUCUGCCUCUAAGAAUUUAUGCACAAUGUCAAGGUUACUAUGUGACUGUUCUCAGAAACAAAAUAAACUUUCUCAGGAGAUCUCAGGUUAAGAAUGUAUGAGAUCAUGCUGCCCUAAUUCCAGAUCUGAACCUGCAACCCCAUGUUAAAGAGCCAGACAUCUGUAUUUCCAUGAAGCCCCAGAGAUGCCAAAGGUUUUCUUCCUGAUGACUAAUAAAUAGGUCAGAAGUGCUUUAAAUAUAGGUUUAAACAGAUCGGCUCCAGGGCAAAAAGAACUUAUUCACUUACCCUUUCUGCAUUUGGAAAUAAUUCGAAAGCAAGUAAGAAUUACAAGUACAGUGGAUCAUUUGAGAAGAUACCAAUAAACAGUGAAACAGUCAUCAAUAAUACAGUACAAUAAUCAACUUAAUAUCAAAUAAAGAUUGGCCCUACAAUGGAUCAUGUUUAUGACUAUUACUGCAAAAUCAUUUAAGUAAAAGCCUUUACUCAUGAAAAUAUUUUAUCCAGGGUAAAGACUAGUUAUUUGAAAUACAUGCAUGGAUAUAUUUAAUGUUCACAUUAUAGGUUGACUGUUAAAGUAACUUAUUUGACUGAAGCCUGUUAAGACUGGAUUUAUUUCUCAUUGUUACCCUGCUUUUCAACUCUAUCCUUUCAACUCUUUCCAUACCCAUCCGAGAACCACCGUUCAUAUAUAUCCUUUGCCAAGCCCACAAUCCUGGCCCUGCUGUACCUGUUUCACAAUCUCCAACAAAGACUAAGUUGAUAAGCACCAGGAAGAUAGGAGGGAUAGACACAAAUAUACAAUCAUUUUCUGUAUUUCAGAUUGGAAUCUCAAAUACAUGAUUAGUCCUUUGACCUUCUACUCCAAGUCCUGAGUAGCUAACAUACUUUUUAUCCAUUUAUUGAUUGAACCAAAGUCAGAAUGGGGAAAGGGAAAUAUAGCCAGAAAGAAUUGCCUUGAUUUCCAAAUCCCUUCCUGAGUCAUAUAUCUCUUCCUUCUUAAAUCAACCCCUUCAAAGUGAGCAUUGCUUUUACAUUUACUUACAUAACUAUCAUUUUUCAUGCUAGUUAAAUGUUUCCCUGUAUGUAUGUAAUGCAAAAAAUACACCCGCAACUAUCAUUAAACAUUUAUUCUCCAAUCUACUUCUUUUCUGUCCUUAACGCCUAAACAAAACUAAAAUCUCCUGAGUAGACUAAUUAUCAAGUAUCUUUCUGGACUCUUUGCACUGGAACAGUACUGUUAACUCCCCCCUUUCUUAGCUAGAUAACUUCUCAUCUCUCUUGAUGCUUCUUCCAAGCCAACAUUUCAAAGAGGUAUGGUUCUCUCAUCUCUUACUAUAUCCUGUCUCAAUUCUGGCUUCUGCAUCUAUAAACAUUCUCUUGAUCUCCUCUAACAUCUUACCUUUAUAGCAGUGGUUGUCUCUCUUCCCCCUUUUGUACUGUAAUCACAGGUAUCUUCACUAUAAUUCCCAAGAGUACUUAACUUUUUCCUCUGAACACAAACCAACAUGCUCUAUAUCCCCACAUCAAGUAUACAGUCCCUGAACAACUUGACAUCUUCCUAUGUUCUGUUCCACUCUUUUUUAGCAUCAAUCAGUUAUAAACUCAACUUACUGAAGUGUUCUAAAUUCUAUCUCACUAACAAAAUAAGUAACUUGAGGUGAGGCCUGGGUCCCUGGAAUUUAAUGGUAAAUCCUAAGGCCCUUCAUGACCUACUCAAUUACUAGGUCACUCUGAUAGCCCUCAUCUUAACUGUCAUAGGCAAUGGAGCAAAUAAGCCUCUUGGCUCCCCUGUGUAUAUCAAAGUCACAUGUGUAUCUCGCUAUUGUCUGAAAAGAACAAUGCACAUAUCUCAGUUUAGGGCACUUAAUUAGGAGGGCAUGGAAUUCAGCCUGGGACCUUGCCUAGCAUGUGCAAGCAAGUACUGAUAAAGCCUCAGCACCACAGAACAAAACACUGCUUGUUUAAAAUGCUAGCACACUGAGCUUGGGGUGUUCACUCAGUGGUAAGGCUUAGCUUAAAGCACGUUGAAAGCUCCAGGUUUGAUUAACACAAAAAACCCCACAUACAUCAAAAUCAUCUAUGCCUUCAGUAAGACAUAAUGGUUGCCUUACCUUGGUGUUGAUGGCUACAACUUAUCAGCAUGGUAGUUACUAAACGUAGGGGUACCUGUGGCAAUUUCUUAAAAGGAAACAAAAUGAAAUCUAUCCCAUCAACUGAUUUAUUCCAUGCACAGAAAGUUCUGUUGUAUAAUGCAGUAUUUUGUUUUUUUAAGAUUUCUUUCAAAAUUGGGGUCAAAUGUCUCAAAAUCCAAUGCUUCUUCAUCAGCCACUUACAUAAUAUGUGAAAUCCUUUAAUAUCAUUUCAAUAUUCAUAGUACCUUCGACCAGGAGGAGGCUGUCAAAAAAAAAAAGUCACGGACUGCUAAUCCACCAGUGCUGAUGGCUUCACUCACAGGCCUGGGAAUAACACAUCAGGCAUCACUUUGAUCACACUGUAGGUGAAGACUGUGGCGGUUCCAACAGUACACCAUGCUGAGGACCAUGAAGAUCAUCCAAGGCUGCACACUGUAUCAAAGAUUCCAAUUGCACAGAACAUCUGUCAGUGCCAAGAACAGCAUGGUACUUGUGACAUUACAUAGGAAUUUUGGUUUUUUUUUUUCAUCUCCACCCUAGCCCAGACAGGGUUUCCCUGUGUAGCCUUGGCUGUGAUGGAACUUGCUCUAUAGAGCAGGCUGGCCUCAAAUUUAGGUCCAUGUACCUACCAUUGCCUUGCUCUAGGGGUUCACCUUAUCUAAGAGUUCUAGAACUUUCAUACAUUCAAGAG